rnacentral:tRNA from 1 species
GGUCUCUUCGGCUAACGGUAAGCCGCCCGUGUAGGCGCGUAAGCGCUGAGGGGUAACCCCGGUUCGACUCCGGGCGGGACCA